rnacentral:rRNA from 1 species
AAACCAACAGGGAUUGCCUUAGUAGCGGCGAGUGAAGCGGCAAGAGCUCAAAUUUGAAAUCUGGUACCUUCGGUGCCCGAGUUGUAAUUUGAAGAAAGCUAUCUUGGAUUUGGCCUUUGUCUAUGUUCCUUGGAACAGGACGUCACAGAGGGUGAGAAUCCCGUGCGAUGAGGUGUCCAUUUCUAUGUAAGAUGUUUUCGAAGAGUCGAGUUGUUUGGGAAUGCAGCUCUAAGUGGGUGGUAAAUUCCAUCUAAAGCUAAAUAUUGGCGAGAGACCGAUAGCGAACAAGUACAGUGAUGGAAAGAUGAAAAGAACUUUGAAAAGAGAGUGAAAAAGUACGUGAAAUUGUUGAAAGGGAAGGGUAUUAGAUCAGACUUGGUAUUUAGUUAUCAUUACUCCUUGUGGGUGGUGCUCUAACUUUUUACUGGGCCAGCAUCAGUUUUGAUGGCAGGAUAAUGACAUUUGAACGUGGCUCUUCGGAGUGUUAUAGCUUUUGUUGAUACUGCCUAUUGGGACUGAGGUCUGCGGCUUUUGCCUAGGAUGCUGGCGUAAUGAUCCAAUACCGC